rnacentral:rRNA from 1 species
CAGGCCUAACACAUGCAAGUCGAACGGAAAGGCCCUGCUUUUGUGGGGUGCUCGAGUGGCGAACGGGUGAGUAACACGUGAGUAACCUGCCCUUGACUUUGGGAUAACUCCAGGAAACUGGGGCUAAUACCGGAUAGGAGCUCCUGCUGCAUGGUGGGGGUUGGAAAGUUUCGGCGGUUGGGGAUGGACUCGCGGCUUAUCAGCUUGUUGGUGGGGUAGUGGCUUACCAAGGCUUUGACGGGUAGCCGGCCUGAGAGGGUGACCGGCCACAUUGGGACUGAGAUACGGCCCAGACUCCUACGGGAGGCAGCAGUGGGGAAUAUUGCACAAUGGGCGGAAGCCUGAUGCAGCAACGCCGCGUGCGGGAUGACGGCCUUCGGGUUGUAAACCGCUUUCGCCUGUGACGAAGCGUGAGUGACGGUAAUGGGUAAAGAAGCACCGGCUAACUACGUGCCAGCAGCCGCGGUGAUACGUAGGGUGCGAGCGUUGUCCGGAUUUAUUGGGCGUAAAGGGCUCGUAGGUGGUUGAUCGCGUCGGAAGUGUAAUCUUGGGGCUUAACCCUGAGCGUGCUUUCGAUACGGGUUGACUUGAGGAAGGUAGGGGAGAAUGGAAUUCCUGGUGGAGCGGUGGAAUGCGCAGAUAUCAGGAGGAACACCAGUGGCGAAGGCGGUUCUCUGGGCCUUUCCUGACGCUGAGGAGCGAAAGCGUGGGGAGCGAACAGGCUUAGAUACCCUGGUAGUCCACGCUGUA